AUACGUAGGGGGCGAGCGUUGUCCGGAAUGACUGGGCGUAAAGGGCGUGUAGGCGGCUGUCUAAGUCUGGAGUGAAAGUCCUGCUUUCAAGGUGGGAAUUGCUUUGGAGACUGGAUGGCUUGAGUGCGGAAGAGGUAAGUGGAAUUCCCAGUGUAGCGGUGAAAUGGGUAGAGAUUGGGAGGAACACCAGUGGCGAAGGCGACUUACUGGGCCGUAACUGACGCUGAGGCGCGAAAGCGUGGGGAGCGAACAGGAUUAGAUACCCUGGUAGUCCACGCGGUAAACGAUGAAUGCCAGGUGUUGCGGGUAUCGACCCCUGCAGUGCCGGAGUAAACACAAUAAGCAUUCCGCCUGGGGAGUACGGCCGCAAGGUUGAAACUCAAAGGAAUUGACGGGG
rnacentral:rRNA from 1 species